GGCUACCUACGGGACGCAGCAGUGAGGAAUAUUGGUCAAUGGGCGGAAACCUGAACCAGCCAAGUCGCGUGAGGGAAGAAGGCCCUGCGGGUCGCAGACCUCUUUGGACAGGGAGCAAGGCCGCCGACGUGUCGGCGGAAGGAGAGUACCCGUAGAACAAGCAUCGGCUAACUCCGUGCCAGCAGCCGCGGUAAUACGGAGGAUGCGAGCGUUAUCCGGAUUUAUUGGGUUUAAAGGGUGCGCAGGCGGCACGGCAAGCCGGCGGUCAAAUCGCGGGGCUCAACCCCGCCCCGCCGUCGGAACUG
rnacentral:rRNA from 1 species